rnacentral:rRNA from 1 species
GGGAUUAGUGGCGAACGGGUGAGUAACACGUGGGCAAUCUGCCCUGCACUCUGGGACAAGCCCUGGAAACGGGGUCUAAUACCGGAUACUGACCUUCACGGGCAUCUGUGAGGGUCGAAAGCUCCGGCGGUGCAGGAUGAGCCCGCGGCCUAUCAGCUUGUUGGUGAGGUAACGGCUCACCAAGGCGACGACGGGUAGCCGGCCUGAGAGGGCGACCGGCCACACUGGGACUGAGACACGGCCCAGACUCCUACGGGAGGCAGCAGUGGGGAAUAUUGCACAAUGGGCGAAAGCCUGAUGCAGCGACGCCGCGUGAGGGAUGACGGCCUUCGGGUUGUAAACCUCUUUCAGCAGGGAAGAAGCGAAAGUGACGGUACCUGCAGAAGAAGCGCCGGCUAACUACGUGCCAGCAGCCGCGGUAAUACGUAGGGCGCAAGCGUUGUCCGGAAUUAUUGGGCGUAAAGAGCUCGUAGGCGGCUUGUCACGUCGGUUGUGAAAGCCCGGGGCUUAACCCCGGGUCUGCAGUCGAUACGGGCAGGCUAGAGUUCGGUAGGGGAGAUCGGAAUUCCUGGUGUAGCGGUGAAAUGCGCAGAUAUCAGGAGGAACACCGGUGGCGAAGGCGGAUCUCUGGGCCGAUACUGACGCUGAGGAGCGAAAGCGUGGGGAGCGAACAGGAUUAGAUACCCUGGUAGUCCACGCC